UACAGAGGUCCCAAGCGUUGUUCGGAUUCACUGGGCGUAAAGGGUGCGUAGGCGGCCGGGUAAGUCUGAUGUGAAAGCACGGAGCUCAACUCCGGAACGGCAUUGGAUACUAUCCGGCUUGAGGAUCGGAGGGGAGACUGGAAUUCUUGGUGUAGCAGUGAGAUGCGUAGAUAUCAAGAGGAACACCAGUGGCGAAGGCGAGUCUCUGGACGAAUCCUGACGCUGAGGCACGAAAGCUAGGGGAGCAAACAGG
rnacentral:misc_RNA from 1 species